GCCCAUAGCUCAGUGAUUAGAGCAUCUGCUUUGCAUGCAGGAGGUCUCCGGUUCAAUCCCCAGCAUCUCCA